GGUUAAGCGACUAAGCGUACACGGUGGAUGCCCUGGCAGUCAGAGGCGAUGAAGGACGUGCUAAUCUGCGAUAAGCGUCGGUAAGGUGAUAUGAACCGUUAUAACCGGCGAUUUCCGAAUGGGGAAACCCAGUGUGAUUCGUCACACUAUCAUUAACUGAAUCCAUAGGUUAAUGAGGCGAACCGGGGGAACUGAAACAUCUAAGUACCCCGAGGAAAAGAAAUCAACCGAGAUUCCCCCAGUAGCGGCGAGCGAACGGGGAGCAGCCCAGAGCCUGAAUCAGUGUGUGUGUUAGUGGAAGCGUCUGGAAAGGCGUGCGAUACAGGGUGACAGCCCCGUACACAAAAAUGCACAUACUGUGAGCUCGAUGAGUAGGGCGGGACACGUGGUAUCCUGUCUGAAUAUGGGGGGACCAUCCUCCAAGGCUAAAUACUCCUGACUGACCGAUAGUGAACCAGUACCGUGAGGGAAAGGCGAAAAGAACCCCGGCGAGGGGAGUGAAAAAGAACCUGAAACCGUGUACGUACAAGCAGUGGGAGCACGCUUAGGCGUGUGACUGCGUACCUUUUGUAUAAUGGGUCAGCGACUUAUAUUCUGUAGCAAGGUUAACCGAAUAGGGGAGCCGAAGGGAAACCGAGUCUUAACUGGGCGUUAAGUUGCAGGGUAUAGACCCGAAACCCGGUGAUCUAGCCAUGGGCAGGUUGAAGGUUGGGUAACACUAACUGGAGGACCGAACCGACUAAUGUUGAAAAAUUAGCGGAUGACUUGUGGCUGGGGGUGAAAGGCCAAUCAAACCGGGAGAUAGCUGGUUCUCCCCGAAAGCUAUUUAGGUAGCGCCUCGUGAAUUCAUCUCCGGGGGUAGAGCACUGUUUCGGCAAGGGGGUCAUCCCGACUUACCAACCCGAUGCAAACUGCGAAUACCGGAGAAUGUUAUCACGGGAGACACACGGCGGGUGCUAACGUCCGUCGUGAAGAGGGAAACAACCCAGACCGCCAGCUAAGGUCCCAAAGUCAUGGUUAAGUGGGAAACGAUGUGGGAAGGCCCAGACAGCCAGGAUGUUGGCUUAGAAGCAGCCAUCAUUUAAAGAAAGCGUAAUAGCUCACUGGUCGAGUCGGCCUGCGCGGAAGAUGUAACGGGGCUAAACCAUGCACCGAAGCUGCGGCAGCGACGCUUAUGCGUUGUUGGGUAGGGGAGCGUUCUGUAAGCCUGUGAAGGUGUGCUGUGAGGUAUGCUGGAGGUAUCAGAAGUGCGAAUGCUGACAUAAGUAACGAUAAAGCGGGUGAAAAGCCCGCUCGCCGGAAGACCAAGGGUUCCUGUCCAACGUUAAUCGGGGCAGGGUGAGUCGACCCCUAAGGCGAGGCCGAAAGGCGUAGUCGAUGGGAAACAGGUUAAUAUUCCUGUACUUGGUGUUACUGCGAAGGGGGGACGGAGAAGGCUAUGUUGGCCGGGCGACGGUUGUCCCGGUUUAAGCGUGUAGGCUGGUUUUCCAGGCAAAUCCGGAAAAUCAAGGCCGAGGCGUGAUGACGAGGCACUACGGUGCUGAAGCAACAAAUGCCCUGCUUCCAGGAAAAGCCUCUAAGCAUCAGGUAACAUCAAAUCGUACCCCAAACCGACACAGGUGGUCAGGUAGAGAAUACCAAGGCGCUUGAGAGAACUCGGGUGAAGGAACUAGGCAAAAUGGUGCCGUAACUUCGGGAGAAGGCACGCUGAUACGUAGGUGAAGCGACUUGCUCGUGGAGCUGAAAUCAGUCGAAGAUACCAGCUGGCUGCAACUGUUUAUUAAAAACACAGCACUGUGCAAACACGAAAGUGGACGUAUACGGUGUGACGCCUGCCCGGUGCCGGAAGGUUAAUUGAUGGGGUUAGCGCAAGCGAAGCUCUUGAUCGAAGCCCCGGUAAACGGCGGCCGUAACUAUAACGGUCCUAAGGUAGCGAAAUUCCUUGUCGGGUAAGUUCCGACCUGCACGAAUGGCGUAAUGAUGGCCAGGCUGUCUCCACCCGAGACUCAGUGAAAUUGAACUCGCUGUGAAGAUGCAGUGUACCCGCGGCAAGACGGAAAGACCCCGUGAACCUUUACUAUAGCUUGACACUGAACAUUGAGCCUUGAUGUGUAGGAUAGGUGGGAGGCUUUGAAGUGUGGACGCCAGUCUGCAUGGAGCCGACCUUGAAAUACCACCCUUUAAUGUUUGAUGUUCUAACGUGGACCCGUGAUCCGGGUUGCGGACAGUGUCUGGUGGGUAGUUUGACUGGGGCGGUCUCCUCCUAAAGAGUAACGGAGGAGCACGAAGGUUGGCUAAUCCUGGUCGGACAUCAGGAGGUUAGUGCAAUGGCAUAAGCCAGCUUGACUGCGAGCGUGACGGCGCGAGCAGGUGCGAAAGCAGGUCAUAGUGAUCCGGUGGUUCUGAAUGGAAGGGCCAUCGCUCAACGGAUAAAAGGUACUCCGGGGAUAACAGGCUGAUACCGCCCAAGAGUUCAUAUCGACGGCGGUGUUUGGCACCUCGAUGUCGGCUCAUCACAUCCUGGGGCUGAAGUAGGUCCCAAGGGUAUGGCUGUUCGCCAUUUAAAGUGGUACGCGAGCUGGGUUUAGAACGUCGUGAGACAGUUCGGUCCCUAUCUGCCGUGGGCGCUGGAGAACUGAGGGGGGCUGCUCCUAGUACGAGAGGACCGGAGUGGACGCAUCACUGGUGUUC
rnacentral:rRNA from 1 species